GGUUCUGAUGAUCCUGGGGUUAGGAAGUGCCCGCAGAAGCGAUAACUGACGACUCUGAUGCCUGUGUGACU
ensembl:snoRNA SNORD49B small nucleolar RNA, C/D box 49B